rnacentral:rRNA from 1 species
UACGUAGGGUGCAAGCGUUAAUCGGAAUUACUGGGCGUAAAGCGUGCGCAGGCGGUUUUGUAAGUCUGUCGUGAAAUCCCCGGGCUCAACCUGGGAAUUGCGAUGGAGACUGCAAGGCUAGAAUCUGGCAGAGGGGGGUAGAAUUCCACGUGUAGCAGUGAAAUGCGUAGAUAUCUGGAGGAACACCGGUGGCGAAGGCGGCAUCCUGGACCACGACUGACGCUGAGGAGCGAAAGCCAGGGGAGCAAACGGG